rnacentral:lncRNA from 1 species
GGGUAGUGAAGGUAGGACGGAGAGGAUUGGAACGGGGUAGUGAAGGUAGGAUGGAGUGGAUUGGAACGGGGUAGUGAAGGUAGGACAGAGAGGAUUGGAACGGGGUAGUGAAGGUAGGACAGAGAGGAUUGGAACGGGGGAGUGAAGGUAGGACAGAGAGGAUUGGAACGGGGUAGUGAAGGUAGGAUGGAGAGGAUUGGAACGGGGUAGUGAAGGUAGGAUGGAGUGGAUUGGAACGGGGUAGUGAAGGUGGGAAACGGGGUAGUGAAGUUGGAACGGGGGAGUGAAGGUAGGAUGGAGAGGAUUGGAACGGGGCCUCGGGGGGAGUGAAGGUAGGAUGGAGAGGCUUGGAACGGGGUAGUGAAGGUGGAACGGGGGAGUGAAGGUAGGACAGAGAGGAUUGGAACGGGGACUCGGGGGAGUGAAGGUAGGAUGGAGAGGAUUGGAACGGGGUAGUGAAGGUAGGACGGAGAGGAUUGGAACGGGGUAGUGAAGUUGGAACGGGGUAGUGAAGGUAGGACAGAGAGGAUUGGAACGGGGUAGUGAAAGUAGGAUGGAGAGGAUUGGAACGGGGGAGUGAAGGUAGGACAGAGAGGAUUGGAACGGGGUAGUGAAGGUAGGAUGGAGAGGAUUGGAACGGGGGAGUGAAGGUGGGAUGGAGAGGAUAGGAACGGGGGAGUGAAGGUAGGAUGGAGAGGAUAGGAACGGGGGAGAGAAGGUAGGACGGAGAGGAUUGGAACGGGGUAGUGAAGGUGGGAUGGAGAGGAUAGGAACGGGGUAGUGAAGGUAGGACGGAGAGGAUUGGAACGGGACCUCGGGGGGAGUGAAGGUAGGACGGAGAGGAUUGGAACGGGGUAGUGAAGGUAGGAUGGAGAGGAUUGGAACGGGACCUCGGGGGGAGUGAAGGUAGGACGGAGAGGAACGGGGGAGUGAAGGUAGGACGGAGAGGAUUGGAACGGGGGCGUACUCUGAGUUUCCUCUUGGGGGCUUUGUGUUUGGCGGUUGUUGCUCCCCUACGAUGCGUCACAAACUUCCCUGGAGUCGGACUGAGAGAGAGAGAGAGGGGGGAGAGAGAGAGAGACAGGGAGAGAGAGAGGGGGUAGAGAGAGAGAGAGACAGGGAGAGAGAGACAGGGAGAGAGAGAGAGGGAGAGGGGGGUAGAGAGAGAGAGAGACAGG